UAUUGCGGAACAGCCCUAAGAGAAGCGAGAGCGUUUGGAAGGUGAAAUCGUCAAACGGAAUGAUAGUUCGUGGAUUUUGCCUGCCGACUCGCCGCUUCAAGAUCUCCUCCUGUUUGCUUCCAGCACUUCAAGCGACGAGAAGGUACACGGCUGAAGCGUUUCGAAUUUGAAUGCGUAAAGCGCGAAAAACGAACGCGGACUCACUCGAAAGGAUCCUCGCCGGGGCCUCGCGGAAGGAUAUGCCGAGCCUCAAGGUGCUCGACGGCGACACGGGGAUCGUCCACACGAUCGAAGUUUCCCAGGAAGAUGCCGCGAAGGCUAGUCAAGAUUCGCUAUUCGCGGCGCAACUUAUGAAUAAUUAUGAGGCGAUAAUUGUGCACAGUCCCGAUGAGCAACCAGCUGCUGAAACAGAAUCUGAAAAUGAUCCACUGUCCCAUUCCACACAAGAAUUUUCUCAAGAUUUCUCUCAAGAUUCUUCUCCAGAAAAAGAUGGUUUUCGUUGGCCUCACGAAGCGAUUCUUUUGCUGCUCGCAGUAUAUAAAGAUCAGGAGCAUAAAAUUAUAUCUGGAACAAUGACAAUGAAAAAGUUUUGGGCUAUAAUUGCCUCUCAAUUAAUCAAAAAAGGCUACAGUGUCAAUGCCUCUCAGUGCAAAAGUAAAAUGGCAGGUUUGAAAAAUACCUACAAAAGUGUGAAGGAUCAUAAAGGUAGAAGUAAAUACAACAAAUUUCGAACAUGGCGAUACUUUGAUAUUAUGGAUGAAAUAUUCAAGAGAAGACCAUGGGUGACCAAGGUUCUUACGACAGAUAGUCCAAUUUCAUCUUCUGAAUGUAAUGUUGAGAAUAAGAAAAGAAGUUCAUCUCCAUGUACAACUGAAGUACCUUCCAAACGCCCAAAACAGUUUGGCAUGUUGGAGAAUAUAAUUGCUGUCACAGAGGAAAAUACUACUGUGAGAAGAAAGAUGCAUGAAGAAGCAAUGGCUCGUCAGGAUAAACUACUUGAUAUUCUAGGAAAGAUACCCAGUAAUAAUUCAAAUUCAUCAUAUUCUGAAAUUAGUGCUCCUAAUGAAAGAAGGAGUUCCUCCAAAGCAGAAUUGCAUUCCAGAUACAUGAAGCAGUAUGCCUUGUUGGAAAGGAUAAUUACUGUUAUGGAGGAAAGUACAGCUGAACGGAAAAGAAUGCAUGAAGAGGCCAUGGCACGUCAGGAUAAAUUACUCGAUAUCCUAGAGAAGAUACUUAACAAAUAGCAGUACGAUAUAUAUAUAUGUAUAUAUAUAUAGAUAGAUAGCCUGAUUAUUGAUCUGUGUAUAAAAAGUUUUGUGAUGUUUCUUACUAAAAACGAAUACAUUAUUCACGCUCGGUCUAUCUUUAUCAUAAUAGGACGCGAGAUAAGCAUAUUUGCUG